AUAGGUUAACGCAUAUAUAUUCACGCAUAUUUAUAAGAUAACAUCAUCGUAUACCAAAACCAAGAUUUGUUAGCCAUACCAUCGGUUGACCUUACAUUCAUUUCACAGAAUCAUUUACUUUAUUAGCUUAUACAUGCCAUUGAUUUCCAAAAUAAAGUUUUUUUAUAUACCGAAAUCUUGAGGUUGAUAGUGUGAUGUGUCUCUGACCAAAUCCGACCUCCGAGCUCUUAACACUAUAAAACAGGGAAAAAGGAAACGGGGUAAGCACUUCGUGCUUAGUAAGCUCAUGUUACAAGAAUUAUACUUACCUAAUAUUUUCAAUACAAUACAAUAAACAUUCAUAUAUCCAUUCAAUGCAUUAUUACCCUAAUAUGCACAAACUCAACAUUCAAGUUAGUACAAUAAUUUCCAUGUACCAAUAAUAUAUACCAUGAUUGAUGAGCUCAUCAAUACCAUGAUUUCCAUUUCCUUGUUAUUUUUCCAUAUUUAUCCCGUUGAAUUUAUCGAAAUUUCGAUGGAUUUUUCAGAUGUACACUUUUAGUGUACAAUUCCGGGUCCGUCAAUUCAUAUUAUUGUGUGCACAUUUCCAUUUCAGAGAGCACACUCCCGCGAACCUCAACCUUACAGCGGGAUUACCAGUCCAGGCUAAAUCCCCUGUAAUAUAAACUCAUAGAGUAUUGUCGGGAUUACUAGUCCAGGCUAAAUCCCCUGCAACGACAAUUACUCUAAUGAUCUUGGAUCUGAAUUACCAGUCCAAGCUAAAUUCAGACCCUAAUUCGGAUUACUCGUCCGGGCUAAAUCCAUUUUCCACAUAUUCUUCGGGAGGGCUAUAUCAGGAUAGGAUCACCCGUCCGGGCUUGAUCCUUUUUACCGUCAAUUCCUUUUCAGAGAUCCAUCGAAUUUUCCUUUCAUUCAACCGGGAUUUCUUCCUCUUUUAUCAAAUAUGUCAAUGUUUCAUAAAAUUUCAUAUAAUGAACAUUCAAAUCAUAUUCAUAUCAAAAACAUGCAUUUCAAGCAUUUAAGAAUAUAAUUCAAGUUACACGAACUUACCUUGAUACUUAUUUGUAAACAAAAAAAAUCUACUGAUCCCGAACUUUUUCUUUUCCUUGAUCUAGCUUCGUAUUUGAAUCUUCUGGAUCUAAAUAAAUAAAUUUAAUUAUCAAUUAAAUGCAUUUCAUAUUCACAUGCAACAUUCUCUAUAAUUCAACUAUUAUUAUUUAUAGUUUAUUCAAAGCUGUCUAUUUGAGUCAUAGUCACUAAAUUAUUUAUAACCAGGGAUUUAAAUAGCGGUCUGAUAUCGUUAUAGUGGCCGUUAUAUAGUGGUAGCGGCACCGUCCAAAACCGCUAUUGCUAAAAAUAGCAGUGUGAUGCGGAGUCACACCGAUAGCGGUGGGUCGCGGCCGCAAUUUAACGGGUAACGGCCAAUUGCGGCAAUAAUGGACCGCUAUUUCUGUUAUUUCCCGUUACAGCAAAUUAAAAAAAUGCAUCUUCUCUACACAAAAAUAAACAGCAACAGUGAAACACAAUCAAAGGGAAUAUAUUCCUCUACCUCCAAAAUCAGAGUGUUUUCAAUAAAAAAAUAAAAAGAAGACCAAAUAAACAGGGGAAGAGGGCCUCGCCUCACUAUUGUUCAUCAUCUUCGUCCCCUUCAUGCCCACGCCCACCUUUUGCUUCCUCCCCCUUCUUCUUUUGCUCCCUGCUUCUAGCCAUUCCACUUUUUGCAGGGGAAGAAGCUGAAAUUUUGUCUUGAUUUUUGCUUGUUUUUGCAGUGCAAAUAGACUUUAGGUUAGGGAUGAAGAUGAAGGGAGAAGGCCUCUUCAGUUUGAUAAGAGUUUUGAGAGGAUAUGAUAUGAGGUUUUUGAGACUUGAGAGGACGAUUCACAAUAGAAUUUAGGAGGCCUCUUCAGUUUUUUCUUUUGAUUUCCCUUUUUCUUUAUUUUUUUAUUUUUU
rnacentral:lncRNA from 1 species